rnacentral:rRNA from 1 species
GACGAACGCUGGCGGCGUGCUUAACACAUGCAAGUCGAACGGAAAGGCCCUGCUUUUGUGGGGUGCUCGAGUGGCGAACGGGUGAGUAACACGUGAGUAACCUGCCCUUGACUUUGGGAUAACUUCAGGAAACUGGGGCUAAUACCGGAUAGGAGCUCCUGCUGCAUGGUGGGGGUUGGAAAGUUUCGGCGGUUGGGGAUGGACUCGCGGCUUAUCAGCUUGUUGGUGGGGUAGUGGCUUACCAAGGCUUUGACGGGUAGCCGGCCUGAGAGGGUGACCGGCCACAUUGGGACUGAGAUACGGCCCAGACUCCUACGGGAGGCAGAAGUGGGGAAUAUUGCACAAUGGGCGGAAGCCUGAUACAGCAACGCCGCGUGCGGGAUGACGGCCUUCGGGUUGUAAACCGCUUUCGCCUGUGACGAAGCGUGAGUGACGGUAAUGGGUAAAGAAGCACCGGCUAACUACGUG